UGGGGAAUAUUGCACAAUGGGCGCAAGCCUGAUGCAGCAAUGCCGCGUGAGUGAAGACGGCCUUAGGGUUGUAAAACUCUUUCGCUAGGGAAGAUAAUGACGGUACCUAGUAAAGAAGUCCCGGCUAACUCCGUGCCAGCAGCCGCGGUAAUACGGAGGGGACUAGCGUUGUUCGGAAUUACUGGGCGUAAAGAGUUCGUAGGCGGACUAGCAAGUUAGAGGUGAAAUCCCAGGGCUCAACCCCGGAACUGCCUCCAAAACUAUUGGUCUAGAGUUCGAGAGAGGUGAGUGGAAUUCCAAGUGUAGAGGUGAAAAUUUCGUAGAUAUUUGGAGGAACACCAGUGGCGAAGGCGGCUCACUGGCUCGAUACUGACGCUGAGGUGCGAAAGUGUGGGGAGCAAACAGGGAUUUAGAUACCCUGGUAGUCCACACCGUAAACGAUGAAUGCCAGUCGUCGGGUAGCAUGCUAUUCGGUGACACACCUAACGGAUUAAGCAUUCCGCCUGGGGAGUACGGUC
rnacentral:rRNA from 1 species